GAAAAAGUUUUAGUGGAAUACUUUUCAGUGUGAAUAAGGAAUAUAUAACAAUGACGAUGAACAUAAAGGAGUAUAUAUCACUCAAGAUAUUGUAGCACACUCAAAUUAGGUAAAUGAGACAUUUAAUAAGGAGCAUAUUUACAAAGUUGUCUGCAGGAUGCACAAAAAAAUUCAUCAAAGGGUACUGAUGCCUGCUGUGCAUUAACAGUACGGGAAAUAGUACUACCCUUGGAGGGUCAAGUGGAUCACUUAUCAAAAACUAGAGAGAGCAGCAGCUGCCCAGGAGGCCUUGUUCACUUCAGUUGGGAAAGGCAGCCUACUCAGAGGCCCAUAAAGUAGGAGCCAGAGGAAUACACACUUUGACGUCUCUUUGGUCUCUCUCUCUCUUUCUCUCUCUUUUCUCUCUCUUUCUCUCUCUCUCUCUCUCUGUAAUCUCCUAUUAGGGCCUCCCAUUGGACAGAUCCAACUCAAAGGCAGAGGGCCAGGUGGGCCGUUGACAACGUCCACUAGGAUCAGUCUCCCUGGAUACAGAGCAGAGUGGAGAAGGAUGGAGUGGCUCUUUGGAGAGAGGCGUCUUAUGAACAGAACACACUUCUGAGAAUGUGAGAAAGGAGCAGAUAAAAGAGAAAACGAAGAGAUUCCCCUUUCAUUGGAAAAGAAACCUCCCCUCCAUGAUGAAAGGAGAAAAAGGAGCCCAGCAAGGAUCUGAAAAAAAAGAGUUGAGAAUGCAUGAAAAGUUUUUGAAAAACGUGGAAGGACAAUCUACCCAGAGAAAUGAAGUCAGUUGGCCAGGAGCCUCCAAAGCCCAGGAGUGACUGCCAAGUGGACAGAAGACUGGGAAAGCAUCUGCCACAUGGAAUUUCUUAGGCAAAUAAAAUUCAAGAGGUCCCCA
rnacentral:lncRNA from 1 species